AAAAUCACGUCUUGCCUUUUCUCUUUAAGUCUGAAGAACGGGCCUUUUCUCUCCAAGUCUCAAGAAAAUGCCUCAUCCCUAACAUUUUACCUAAAUCAAUUUUGGCAUUAGGUUGGAAAAACAAGAUUGUACAUUCUUCUCCGGUACUUCAGCGAGGCAAAUUUUGACAUUUUCUAUGUCAACACUACGAGGAGGUUGAGUUUUGAAGCUGUUACGUUUCUGCUUCAAUUUACUUCAACCAAAAUGUUUUCCGUCACCAACAACUUUUCAGGUUUCUACACCCUCAUAGAAUUUCUGCAUAGAAUUACAUUUUCUGGAGGUAUGAUGACCUUGGAGUUGAAAGUUUUCAUCCAGCCUUGUAUCUAUCUAUUAUCGAAUAAGAAAGAUUGAAGAUAUCACACCCUCCACUUGAUUCUGGUAGCUCAGAAGUUCAUCGUACUAUUGUUGGGAGCAAAAGUACCUCUGGAGUAACGAAUUCUUAAAAGAAAUAGAUUGGAGUUAAUCUUUUAUGUGCAAAGAGCUAUUGUGUAUAUAUUAUUUAGAUUUCAUGGUAAGGUUUGUGUACAUUCUACCCUCCUUGGACUUUACUUGUGGGAUUUCACUAAGUAUGCCGUAGGUUUGUUUAGAUCUCGUGAAGCAAUUGAAUUUAUAACAGUUUCGGUAUUGAAGGUACUACGCUUGAUUGUCUUUUCCUUUUUCUUACUAUCAA